CCUAGUUUGACCCUAAUCAUACAAACAUAUUUUGUUGAUUUCAGUUUGUGAUUUUAAGUGUAUGUUCUUAUGAUGGUUUAGACCUGUAGUCAGGCUUUUAAAUACAUUUUGUUCAAAUGCUAGGUUUUCAGGAUUAGUUUUAAUUUCUCCAGUUAAAACAACUGGAUAUUUAAAUUGUAAGCAAAUCAUUUCCUUUCUUAAAAAUUAUGUGCAGUGUGUUUCACUAUUCACCCGCUUUGUAGAUGGACAGAACUGACUUUAAAUGCUAACGGACACACAGAUUUUUUAUAAAUAGCUAGAAUAAUUGCUCUGUUCACUAUUUUAGAAAUUCAAAUAUUUAAGUCCCAUUAUGUAAGUCCUUACAAGUUGCUUUCCCUAGUGAACUUCAGUGCAAAUUUUGAUAAAGUGCUCAGUGUGAAGAAACGUGCCAACCUAAUGUCUGUCUACUUUUCUGUUUUGCUGUUAGACCUGGGUGCUGCUCACUGCUACAGAUAUUUUCAGGCUGUUUGAACUGGAGGUGUAUAUUUGUCUCCCCAAAUUUCUGACUCUCCAAACUUCUUGUGGGUUUGAAACCUUUUGGUUUACUUUAUUGCCUACCCCCAUCUCUUACUGUUGAACCCAGACUGAUGGCAACCAUCAAGUAUUCCUUUGGACUCACAGAGUGAUUUCAACCCAACUGCAGCACCCAAUAUGGGAGAGUUAGAAUAAAGCAUCUGGAUAUAAUUUUUAGGGCCUCAGGCAGGCUUAUUAGAGACUUAUUUCUGAAGCCAGUGUCUUUAGUUUCACUUCCCUGCUAGCUGGGAGAGGAGAGGGUUAUGGUGAAAGGAAAGGCUGUGUCCAUUGGGAACAUCCAAAUCACCAAAGACUUAGUGGAACUGCUUUGUUUCUAGAUUUUCUCUAGACUCUUACCAGUAAAGCUAUACAUAUAUUACUUUCUAACCUUUUGUUUCUGAAUUCUCAAAACUCAGAUUCUUCAGAGAGGCCAAGAAAAGGAGGGGGAGAAGCCCUUUCACUUACUGAGCUACAGGGUGUGUGACACCUGCAGUUUCUUAGGAUUGCCAGCAUCCAAGUUUAUCCCGUUAGUGCACAUGUCUUUGAGUAUCCUUCCCUCAAGUUCCAGAGCAGGGGCUUCCCCAGGGGCUCAUAGACAGGUGCAAGAGGGGCUGAAACUCCCCUGAAAUUGUAUACAAGACUAAGAAUGUGUUUUGGUUUUUUUCCAGGAAAGGUUCUAGUGGUUGUUACUGGAUCCAGAAAAUGUUAAGAACUAAUGUAGGAGCUACUACCAGAUAAUGGAUGGCUCCACAAGCUAUUUCUGUGCUUGUGAGUGGACAACUCUUGUUAACCACAUAUUUAGGUUUGCAUGAUGCUGUAUAGAGAACAGAGAAGAUCCUCUUGAUAAAGUAUAUUUGCACUGUUUCUGUGUGGGAUUAAAAGCUUUUCCUACCUCUCACCUCCAUUUCCUGUAAGGGUAACCAGAGAAACCACACUGUUCCAAGCUUGGAAAUAGUAAUUUCCAGGAAAGUCUUUUGGGAUUUGUUGCUAAACCUGGUCUUUUUCUCUGAACUGCAGUGACUGCAUUUCCACAUUGGCAGGGCAGUGUGCUAAGAAAGCCUGGUGCAUAGGUGCUCUGUUCUGCCCAAGGAUGUGUCUGAAACAACCAUGGUGGAACUUUUGUAUAGCAGGAAAGGGGAAUGUAAAGUGUUGGGCAGUCAAGGGGAACUUUUGAGGGUAUUGCAGACUGUAGGAUAGGUAAGAAGUGUGAUUUGGAUUUAACUUGGUAGACUCAUGUGCAUGUAUCUGCCUCUGGAUAUGCAUGUGUGAAAGUUCCUUUGUAUGCAUAUAUAUGGGUGGGCACCUGUGCUUGUGAUAUUUUUUAUUUCACAAAAGAUUUCUUUGAAAAAGUGGUAGUAAUGUGUUCAUUUCAAGAACAUGUGAUAUUCUAACAUCAGGUUCAAGUGUUAUCUAGAAUGAACUGUCUAGCCCUCUGUUGAGAAAUAAAGGGGACCAUAAGCAUUUCAGUUGUUUAUGGUUGUGUUAUCACCUUUAAGCGCCUUAAGUUAUGCAAAACUUCCGCUGUUUUUUAAGUUCUCCAUGAUAUUGUUAUAGCUGUCGCUUCUUUCCCCUUACAGAAGAGCUGUGGCUCAGGGUCUGUGCUGAUUCUGCUGUUUAGAGGCUUCAAGAGGAAGGACAUAGUUUAACAACCUGACAGAACAGGCACAUUUCUUAUAAGUAAUUGGAGGCCAUUUGUAGAAUGUGAUUUUUAAUUGUUUGUGCCUAUUCUAACAGCUCAGAGCCAAGAAAACCAUAAAUUAUUUUAGAAAGGCUGUUGAAGAUCUUUCUUCUAUUAAAGAUUUAUAUGCCCUUGAGCUGCUCCAGCACCCUUGGUUUCAGAUUUUUUAAAUAUUGAAUAUGGAUAAGAAUGAAACACUUGACUGCUAAAAUGUUUAUACUAGCAUAUGCUAAUGUUUUAAUGGGGGUUCUGAUAAAAUAUCAGUCGCUUCAAAUUUUAUGCAAAAGUUUAAUUAAAUUCAAAAUAUAUUUUGGCAUAUUCCUCAGUUACAAAACAAACAGUGGAAACAAAAAGAGUGAAGAGUUAUCUUGACCUGAUGUUAUUCAAAUUUGAGAGCAAGUCAUUACUUUUACACUCCUUCUUUGGUGGGGAAAAAAUUCUAAGAAUUAGAAGUUGAGUGUUUAGCUCAUUACCUACAUACAGUUUAUAGACAAAACUGUUUCUGCUUAAGUGAUUAUUUGCUUAAUAAAAGUUUCACUUUGCUGUUUUUUCUGAACAACUUUAGUGACUUAGGCAUGUGGCCAGUUUGGUGGGAGUAGAGGAAUGGCAUGGUAUUUUUAAUGGAAGAGAAUUCAUUGGAAAAGACUGAAGUAUAUUGUAAAGUGGGAUUUGGACAGCCUGUACACUCUGGUUUGCUCAAAUAAUUGCAGUUUACGUAGGCUUUCUUCUAAAUUUUGAUCCUGUUACCUAAAGGAGAGCUCCUAGCAUUAUUAUGAAGGCCGCACCUGCCACUUUUUAUAAAACAGUGGUUUUAUCCCUGCCACAAGUCAGUAGGACCCUCAGGGUUUAAGAGAAGAGAUCUUAUGGAUAGGAAAGAGGCUGUGAUGGAGGGAAUUUGGGCUGUGAGUUCCAUACAAGUGGAUGAGGAAUCCUCAUUUAAACCAGACCUACUGUUAUAGACACCAGCUUCUAACUUCACCUUCAACCCAACUAUGACCUGCUGGGUCAUAUAGUGACUGAAGUUUCCCAGAGUUACUCUAAAUUUAAGAUAGUACACCAGUGAAUUGGGUACAGAGGGGGUCAAGAAAGGCUGUUGAAGAUCUUUCUCCUGUUAAAGAUAAAUAUAUGCCCUAGAGCUGCUCCAGCACCCUUGGUUUCAGAUUUUUUAAAUAUUGAAUAUGGAUAAGAAUGAAAUACUUGACCGCAGAAAUGUUUAUAAGCAAAUAGCCUAGUCUUCUUACGUUUUGGUAUAAAGCUGUGAACUUCAUAACUUUGUAAAGCAAGAUAUAAAGCAAAUACGAGAGGAAAAUAAAGUAAUUUUACU
rnacentral:lncRNA from 1 species